rnacentral:rRNA from 1 species
UUCCUACGGGGCGCAGCAGUGGGGAAUAUUGCGCAAUGGGGGCAACCCUGACGCAGCAACGCCGCGUGAUUGAAGAAGGCCUUCGGGUUGUAAAGAUCUUUAAACAGGGACGAAGAAAUGGCGGUACCUGAAGAAUAAGCUCCGGCUAACUACGUGCCAGCAGCCGCGGUAAUACGUAGGGAGCAAGCGUUAUCCGGAUUUACUGGGUGUAAAGGGCGUGUAGGCGGGCCUGUAAGUCAGAAGUGAAAUCUGGGGGCUUAACCCCGGGACUGCAUUGGAAACUGGCAUGCUGGAGUGCCGGAGGG